UUAAGCGACUAAGCGUACACGGUGGAUGCCCUGGCAGUCAGAGGCGAUGAAGGACGUGCUAAUCUGCGAUAAGCGUCGGUAAGGUGAUAUGAACCGUUAUAACCGGCGAUUUCCGAAUGGGGAAACCCAGUGUGUUUCGACACACUAUCAUUAACUGAAUCCAUAGGUUAAUGAGGCGAACCGGGGGAACUGAAACAUCUAAGUACCCCGAGGAAAAGAAAUCAACCGAGAUUCCCCCAGUAGCGGCGAGCGAACGGGGAGCAGCCCAGAGCCUGAAUCAGUGUGUGUGUUAGUGGAAGCGUCUGGAAAGGCGCGCGAUACAGGGUGACAGCCCCGUACACAAAAAUGCACAUGCUGUGAGCUCGAUGAGUAGGGCGGGACACGUGGUAUCCUGUCUGAAUAUGGGGGGACCAUCCUCCAAGGCUAAAUACUCCUGACUGACCGAUAGUGAACCAGUACCGUGAGGGAAAGGCGAAAAGAACCCCGGCGAGGGGAGUGAAAAAGAACCUGAAACCGUGUACGUACAAGCAGUGGGAGCACGCUUAGGCGUGUGACUGCGUACCUUUUGUAUAAUGGGUCAGCGACUUAUAUUCUGUAGCAAGGUUAACCGAAUAGGGGAGCCGAAGGGAAACCGAGUCUUAACUGGGCGUUAAGUUGCAGGGUAUAGACCCGAAACCCGGUGAUCUAGCCAUGGGCAGGUUGAAGGUUGGGUAACACUAACUGGAGGACCGAACCGACUAAUGUUGAAAAAUUAGCGGAUGACUUGUGGCUGGGGGUGAAAGGCCAAUCAAACCGGGAGAUAGCUGGUUCUCCCCGAAAGCUAUUUAGGUAGCGCCUCGUGAAUUCAUCUCCGGGGGUAGAGCACUGUUUCGGCAAGGGGGUCAUCCCGACUUACCAACCCGAUGCAAACUGCGAAUACCGGAGAAUGUUAUCACGGGAGACACACGGCGGGUGCUAACGUCCGUCGUGAAGAGGGAAACAACCCAGACCGCCAGCUAAGGUCCCAAAGUCAUGGUUAAGUGGGAAACGAUGUGGGAAGGCCCAGACAGCCAGGAUGUUGGCUUAGAAGCAGCCAUCAUUUAAAGAAAGCGUAAUAGCUCACUGGUCGAGUCGGCCUGCGCGGAAGAUGUAACGGGGCUAAACCAUGCACCGAAGCUGCGGCAGCGACNGAAGGUGUGCUGUGAGGCAUGCUGGAGGUAUCAGAAGUGCGAAUGCUGACAUAAGUAACGAUAAAGCGGGUGAAAAGCCCGCUCGCCGGAAGACCAAGGGUUCCUGUCCAACGUUAAUCGGGGCAGGGUGAGUCGACCCCUAAGGCGAGGCCGAAAGGCGUAGUCGAUGGGAAACAGGUUAAUAUUCCUGUACUUGGUGUUACUGCGAAGGGGGGACGGAGAAGGCUAUGUUGGCCGGGCGACGGUUGUCCCGGUUUAAGCGUGUAGGCUGGUUUUCCAGGCAAAUCCGGAAAAUCAAGGCUGAGGCGUGAUGACGAGGCACUACGGUGCUGAAGCAACAAAUGCCCUGCUUCCAGGAAAAGCCUCUAAGCAUCAGGUAACAUCAAAUCGUACCCCAAACCGACACAGGUGGUCAGGUAGAGAAUACCAAGGCGCUUGAGAGAACUCGGGUGAAGGAACUAGGCAAAAUGGUGCCGUAACUUCGGGAGAAGGCACGCUGAUAUGUAGGUGAAGCGACUUGCUCGUGGAGCUGAAAUCAGUCGAAGAUACCAGCUGGCUGCAACUGUUUAUUAAAAACACAGCACUGUGCAAACACGAAAGUGGACGUAUACGGUGUGACGCCUGCCCGGUGCCGGAAGGUUAAUUGAUGGGGUNNNNAGCGCAAGCGAAGCUCUUGAUCGAAGCCCCGGUAAACGGCGGCCGUAACUAUAACGGUCCUAAGGUAGCGAAAUUCCUUGUCGGGUAAGUUCCGACCUGCACGAAUGGCGUAAUGAUGGCCAGGCUGUCUCCACCCGAGACUCAGUGAAAUUGAACUCGCUGUGAAGAUGCAGUGUACCCGCGGCAAGACGGAAAGACCCCGUGAACCUUUACUAUAGCUUGACACUGAACAUUGAGCCUUGAUGUGUAGGAUAGGUGGGAGGCUUUGAAGUGUGGACGCCAGUCUGCAUGGAGCCGACCUUGAAAUACCACCCUUUAAUGUUUGAUGUUCUAACGUUGACCCGUAAUCCGGGUUGCGGACAGUGUCUGGUGGGUAGUUUGACUGGGGCGGUCUCCUCCUAAAGAGUAACGGAGGAGCACGAAGGUUGGCUAAUCCUGGUCGGACAUCAGGAGGUUAGUGCAAUGGCAUAAGCCAGCUUGACUGCGAGCGUGACGGCGCGAGCAGGUGCGAAAGCAGGUCAUAGUGAUCCGGUGGUUCUGAAUGGAAGGGCCAUCGCUCAACGGAUAAAAGGUACUCCGGGGAUAACAGGCUGAUACCGCCCAAGAGUUCAUAUCGACGGCGGUGUUUGGCACCUCGAUGUCGGCUCAUCACAUCCUGGGGCUGAAGUAGGUCCCAAGGGUAUGGCUGUUCGCCAUUUAAAGUGGUACGCGAGCUGGGUUUAGAACGUCGUGAGACAGUUCGGUCCCUAUCUGCCGUGGGCGCUGGAGAACUGAGGGGGGCUGCUCCUAGUACGAGAGGACCGGAGUGGACGCAUCACUGGUGUUCGGGUUGUCAUGCCAAUGGCACUGCCCGGUAGCUAAAUGCGGAAGAGAUAAGUGCUGAAAGCAUCUAAGCACGAAACUUGCCCCGAGAUGAGUUCUCCCUGAC
rnacentral:rRNA from 1 species